rnacentral:rRNA from 1 species
GGGGAGUGAAAAAGAACCUGAAACCGUGUACGUACAAGCAGUGGGAGCACAGAGCAAUCUGUGUGACUGCGUACCUUUUGUAUAAUGGGUCAGCGACUUAUAUUCUGUAGCAAGGUUAACCGAAUAGGGGAGCCGAAGGGAAACCGAGUCUUAACUGGGCGUUAAGUUGCAGGGUAUAGACCCGAAACCCGGUGAUCUAGCCAUGGGCAGGUUGAAGGUUGGGUAACACUAACUGGAGGACCGAACCGACUAAUGUUGAAAAAUUAGCGGAUGACUUGUGGCUGGGGGUGAAAGGCCAAUCAAACCGGGAGAUAGCUGGUUCUCCCCGAAAGCUAUUUAGGUAGCGCCUCGUGAAUUCAUCUCCGGGGGUAGAGCACUGUUUCGGCAAGGGGGUCAUCCCGACUUACCAACCCGAUGCAAACUGCGAAUACCGGAGAAUGUUAUCACGGGAGACACACGGCGGGUGCUAACGUCCGUCGUGAAGAGGGAAACAACCCAGACCGCCAGCUAAGGUCCCAAAGUCAUGGUUAAGUGGGAAACGAUGUGGGAAGGCCCAGACAGCCAGGAUGUUGGCUUAGAAGCAGCCAUCAUUUAAAGAAAGCGUAAUAGCUCACUGGUCGAGUCGGCCUGCGCGGAAGAUGUAACGGGGCUAAACCAUGCACCGAAGCUGCGGCAGCGACACUGUGUGUUGUUGGGUAGGGGAGCGU